rnacentral:rRNA from 1 species
UGCGCAGGUGGGCUUGUAAGUCAGUGGUGAAAUCUUGCCGCUUAACGGUAAAAUUGCCAUUGAUACUGCAAGUCUUGAGUAUGGUUGAGGUAGGUGGAAUGUGUUGUGUAGCGGUGAAAUGCAUAGAUAUGACACAGAACGCCGAUUGCGAAGGCAACUUACUAAGCCAUUACUGACGCUGAGGCACGAAAGCGUAGGGAGCGAACAGGAUUAGAUACCCUGGUAGUCC